AGUGGCGAACGGGUGAGUAAUACAUGGGUAAUCUGCCUUCGAGCGGGGGAUAACCAGCCGAAAGGCUGGCUAAUACCCCAUACGCUUCCGGUCCCUCGGGUAAGGAAGGAAAGCUGCAUCGUGGAUGUGGCACUCGAAGAUGGGCUCAUGGCCUAUCAGCUUGUUGGUGGGGUAACGGCCCACCAAGGCUACGACGGGUAGCUGGUCUGAGAGGACGAUCAGCCACACUGGCACUGAGAUACGGGCCAGACUCCUACGGGAGGCAGCAGUGAGGAAUAUUGCGCAAUGGGCGAAAGCCUGACGCAGCGACGCCGCGUGGGGGAAGAAGGUUUUCGGACUGUAAACCCCUUUUAGGAGGAAAGAUGGGGUGGGUUUCCACCCGGACGGUACCUCCAGAAAAAGCCACGGCUAACUUCGUGCCAGCAGCCGCGGUAAUACGAAGGUGGCGAGCGUUGUUCGGAUUUACUGGGCGUAAAGAGCACGUAGGCGGUUUAGUAAGCCCCUUGGGAAAGCUACGAGCUUAACCCGUAAAGGUCGAGGGGGACUGCUAAGCUAGAGGGCGGGAGAGGAGCGCGGAAUUCCCG
rnacentral:rRNA from 1 species